rnacentral:lncRNA from 1 species
GGCGAGCCGGGCUCACGCCAAGCUGGUCGCCGCGGGGCGACCUGGGAAUGCAUGAGCCGAUCGCCGGGGGCGACCUGUCCUUGCGUCGUUCUGGUCGCCAGGGGCGACCUGUCCUCGCGUCGUGCCGGUCGCCGGGGUCGACCUGUCCUCACGCGCUGGUCGCCGGGGGAGACCCGAGAAGGCAUGAGCCGGUCGCCGGGGGCGACCUGUCCUCA